rnacentral:lncRNA from 1 species
CAUCAGGUAGAGAGACUUUGAUCUCACACAACAGCCAAAAGUGUCAAAACACCAUGACGAUCUCAAGAAAAUGAGCUCGGUACUGGUAAACACAAUAGGCAGCUCGAAUAAGGCUCAACAAGAGAGCAAGAAAUUAAGUCCGACUUUACAAAAGAGCUCGGGGCACCAACGUGAAGAAAGUGAAAUUCCGAACUUCGGAGCUCGCGAUAUAGACACC